rnacentral:sRNA from 1 species
CUUAAUUUCUACUUUUAGUGCACACUGCAGAAAAAUGCACACACUUUUGGGAUCCUUGAGGAAAAUUCUGAGCAGUGGACCACAUGAUGAGUGCCUCAUGUCAGCCUUCACACACAGUCCAGUCCUGAGAAGCGGAGGGGAGAGGGACAGCAGGCUUGGGUCUGUGGAAGCAGUGUUCUCUUGCAAGGCAGAGUCACCAUGUGUCCCAUCUUUACAGAUUGGCUGCAAUGCCGUCAGCUGGGCCCCUGCUGUUGUACCUGGAAGCCUCAUAGACCAGCCAUCGGGGCAGAAACCCAAUUACAUCAAGAGGUUUGCAUCAGGUGGUUGUGACAACCUCAUCAAGCUGUGGAAGGAGGAGGAGGACGGCCAGUGGAAGGAGGAGCAGAAGCUAGAAGCGCACAGUGACUGGGUUCGAGAUGUGGCCUGGGCCCCCUCCAUCGGCCUGCCUACCAGCACCAUCGCCAGCUGCUCCCAGGACGGUCGUGUGUUCAUUUGGACUUGUGAUGAUGUCUCAAGCAAUACGUGGUCCCCUAAAUUGUUGCACAAGUUCAAUGAUGUGGUGUGGCAUGUGAGCUGGUCCAUCACAGCCAACAUCCUGGCUGUCUCUGGUGGA